AUUGAACGCUGGCGGCAGGCUUAACACAUGCAAGUCGAACGACUGGCGGACGGGUGAGUAAUGCUUGGGAAUCUAGCUUAUGGAGGGGGAUAACUACGGGAAACUGUAGCUAAUACCGCAUACCAUCGGAUGAGCCCAAGUGGGAUUAGGUAGUUGGUGGGGUAAAGGCUCACCAAGGCGACGAUCUCUAGCUGGUCUGAGAGGAUGACCAGACACACUGGAACUGAGACACGGUCCAGACUCCUACGGGAGGCAGCAGUGGGGAAUAUUGCACAAUGGGCGCAAGCCUGACGCAGCCAUGCCGCGUGAAUGAAGAAGGCCUUCGGGUUGUAAAGUACUUUCGGUAGCGAGGCGUUAACUACAGAAGAAGCACCGGCUAACUCCGUGCCAGCAGCCGCGGUAAUAC
rnacentral:rRNA from 1 species